GACGAACGCUGGCGGCGUGCUUAACACAUGCAAGUCGAGCGGAGCGGCGAACGGGUGAGUAACGCGUGAGUAACUGCCCCCCUCUCUGGGAUAACAGUUGGAAACGGCUGCUAAUACCGGAUAGUGGGGGAUGACUCGCGUCCUAUCAGCUUGUUGGUGGGGUAGUGGCCUACCAAGGGGACGACGGGUAGCAGGCCUGAGAGGGCGACCGGCCACAUAGGGCCGAGAUACUGCCCAAAGUCGUACGGGAGGCAGCAGUGGGGAGUAUGGCACAAUGGGGCAAACCCUGAUGCAGCAACGCCGCGUGCGGGAUGUCGGCCUCCGGGUUGUAAACCGCUUUAGGCCAUGACGCGGUAGUGGCAGAAGAAGCACCGGCUAACUACGUGCCAGCCGCCGCGGUAAUUC
rnacentral:rRNA from 1 species